rnacentral:lncRNA from 1 species
UUUUCCUUUUAAAGUAUUCUCUUCUCUUUAAUUAAUUUUGCAAACACUCUUUUAAAAUUUGUUUAGAAUAAAAGUGAAACAAGAAGCCGUCUCUUCCCCUCCCAGGUGUUUCAUGGUUGCCUGUAAAGUAAAAACGCCAUGGAUAUUCUUCCUCUCCCCGGCCUUUGGCAGGAGAGAAACCACUCUCUUUUGCUUACUUGUUCAAGAACCUUGAAAAUUAAAUACAAGACACAAAAGAGUUGCUCAGUUUGAGUCAAGAUGACAAUAAAUCUGUUCACUCUCAACGAAUUUGGUUGCAAUCCAAAGAUGUGAAUAUAUGAAAAGUUUGGCCCAAAAUUGAAUACGAUCUUCUGAUAACUGCCUUUGGGCCCAAUUAAUACAUCUUGCCAGGAAGUACCAAGCCAAGUAAAAAUUACACGGGCGCCCUAUUUGGUCGCCCCCAUUUAACCUAUACCCAUUUUUUUAAAACUUUUAACUUGUACCCAUUUCUUAAAUAACUUCAGCCCUUUUUCUCCUCCUUCUUCUCCUCCUUCGUUUUUUUCUUCUUCUGAAAGAAAUAGCUGAAAUAUGCAAACAAGCAAUUGACUGAGUUGUCAAGCAAGAGGACGACCAUCCCGUAUGUCAUAUUUGAUUUUCCUUUGCCUUUUUAAAUAUUAAUUCUUCUACUGUGUUCCUAUAAAUCUGUGUCUUCACUUGAUAGAGAAGAGUAUAAAAACAAGAAGAAGUCAAGCUUUAAAUAAUUAAAAAAAAAAGAUUGAUUAGCUGUUUCAUUCCGCAGACAAGGCUCUUCUGGACUUAUAUGGGGCGACAAAUUCUUAUCAGGUGAAUUGAAUCAGCAUAUUAACCAUAAAUACGAAAUUACUAAAUGUAACAAAGCUUCUCAUUCCAUGGGAGAAGGAGGACAACCCAAAGAGGAGAAUAUGCUGGUGAAGGCUUCAUCAAUUGGAUCAAUGGAGAGGAGCAAAUCCAACGGCUUCAUAUAAGAGUUAAUUUUAUCCAAGCUUCAGCUCUAGAGCUGAAGUUUCCCAGUUACAACACAAAAACUUCAGCUCUAGAGCUGAAGUUUCCCACUUACAACACAAAAACUUCAGCUCUAGAGCUGAAGUUCGCCAGUUACAAAACAAAAACUUCAGCUCUAGAGCUGAACUUCAGGCCCGGCUACUAGAAUGCUGAAGUUUGCGUGAUUGCCUUUGCUACUUCAGCUCCGUGUGCUGAAGUUAUGCGAAAAAGCGGGUGCGCUUGUAAUUUUUUCUGUAAAAUGGGCACAAGUUAAAAUAUGACACAAAAAGCGGGUAUAUGCAAAUGCCCCCAAGCCAAUUGGUACAAAAUGCAAAUUUGGAGAAUAAUACAACUCCUAAUGCUACUAGGAACUUAGCAGGAGAAAACACGAGGAGCAUUUCUACUCCUUAUAGGAAUUCAACUUUGACGAACUAAGCUUAAGGAGUCGUGCUCAGUCUGUUGCUAAUGGAAUUGAAUUGACUAGAAGAGGUCUGCAGAAUUACGUAGGAUUUUUAUUGUUAAAGCAUAUCUCAAAAAAGAUAUUCUUAAUGUUAUUAGUUAGAAGAGUAGAAUAUUAGUCUAGAUUAAAAGGAUUGUUACAAGAAAAUUCAAACUAAGUGAGGUAUUCGUGGUAUUUAUUGUAAACCACAAAAGAAGUCGGUAUUACGAAUUGAAAGGAGGGGUAUCUAAAAUUAUCCGUUAAAAAUAGCUGGUUAGUUGAUUACAUGCAAUCAUUCGAUACAACUUAAAGGUAGUUACAAGAAACAAGCAACAUCUCAGGGUUGCCUCCACACAAUGAGUGUAAACCAAAACAAACAAAAAGGGAAAAAAGAUUAAGAAAAAAAAAGUGCGGAUGCUCAGAAAUUUGUUUCGUCUCCCAGAAAGCAGAUUGCAAGAGAAUUGACAAGUAAACACAAGAGGAAUCCAAUUCUCACAACGUUAUCAUCUUCCAGAUGCUGUUACUAGCGUCAAAGGCAGUCAGCUUCG